UAACAAGGAUGCGGCAGGAUCAAGGAAGAUGCAGAGGAACCCCGCCCCCUUCCCCCUCCUUCCUCCACCACCUCCACUUUCCAGGACGAACGCACGCAGGGCUCGACGGGAGUUGUAGUCCUGCGGCCACUGAUGCUACGGGGGAACAAUAGGACGCUGGGGACAGCGGGAACUACAAACAGGACGGCGGAGGGCGUGCCCAGCCGGGAGCCGAGGAUGCCGGGAGUUAGAGUCCCGUUGCCCCGAGGCUCCCAGUUGCAGAACAUCGAGAAGGAGAGGGAACGAUGACUACAAACAAGAUGGCCUUCUCCCCCGACCCGACCUCCUUCCCAGGCACUCACACGCCCUCCUGUCCACAACCCUCCGCGUGUGUGGUACCUGACGGGAGUCGCAGUCCAUCUGCUGCCUUCCCGCUGCCAUUUCUACUCGUCAGGAACAAUGGAAAGGUGAAAAGGAAAGAGGACUACAAGCAAGAUGGCGGAAGAGGGACAUACACCUGACUAGUAGUCGAUCUUACGAGGUGCGAUGGGAUUAGUAGUUUUAUAGCCUUCCAGUGUUCCUUAAGAAUGGCGGAACCAGGAGGACGAGGAGACUACCGUAAAGAUGGCAGGCUACCUAACAGAGAAAGGACGUCGCUGUUGAAAUGUGAAUCCCGGCGGACACGCCAAAUUGCGAGGCGACGGAAACGGAAAGACUCUU
rnacentral:lncRNA from 1 species